AACAGUGGGGGGAAAUAGCAAAAAUAACGAUCCCAACAAUAUGGACACUUUUUUUAAACAUUAACUGGAACUUAUCGUGACAACGAUAAAUCAAAAACCUUAUCAUGACAAGAAAUCUUUCAUGAUAAAUGAUAAACGAUACGAUAAGUGUCCCCUCAUCACCUCAGCCCCAGCCUCCUCCACCCAGACCGACUCAUGGUGGGCAAAAAUAAUAAUAAGUAAAAUCGCAAAGCUUCAAAAUAACCAGGAUCCGUUUGUGCUACGUUCUGCACUGAGCGAAAGGAUUUCCAUUGAUUUUACUUUCUAUGUAUCUUGACGAUACUUCUGUUCCACUACAUCUUUUGCAGCCUACAACAGAACCGCCCUGCAGAGAAAUGAGAAAAACAGAGUCAGGUGAGUAGGUGGUCUUUAAAGGCAGCUCUGCUCGGCACGCUGCAGCUCUAUACAUAGACACGGCUGGAUCAGAUCGGUGAGUGUGUUAACCACACCUUCCCAGACACUGCAGUAAAUCUAAGAGAAAAAAAAAGUGAUUUAAUUAAGCUCGUAAAACGGUAUGUAAGUAACUCUGCUGUUGUACUGAAUGUGAUGAAAGCGGGUCUCGUUUAUUGAGCUUAACGGUUGUGACGGGUUUUUUUCCUGCAGAUAAACUUCCGGCGUGUGGAAAUCAGCCCUUCUGCCUGGCUCCACCCUGACCCGGCGCGCUCGUUACGUCCGCACGGCUGAGUGCGCCUUGCGUAAGCGUUUUUAAUAUUUCAAGGCCCGAGAUGAAAAAUGCAUCUGUUUGAACUGUAAGUGCAUGAUUGGAGUUGGACGAAAAGGUCACAACGGAGCGGCCGCGGGUGAGGGAAGUGUUCAUAAACGGGCUCCUUUCCUCGCUUCUGCAACGUUUCUAUUUGAGAGGAAGAGAAACAAAUCUGACGGCAUGAAAGCUCCCAGAGUUGUUGACAACUUCACUCAGACAAAAAGGAGGCUUUCUCACGAGCGCAGAGGCGUCGCGGUUUAAUUCUGGGGCAGGUGUCCCAGGCCGCGGCCUGCCAAGCGUUCUGCACGAAAAGGUAAGAUUGACAAAAAACGCCUUCAGGUCUGCCUCUGCGGAGUCCCGUUCAAAAAAAGAAAAAAGAAACUUCAGAGCCCGCUUUGAAGGAUGGUGGAGAGGAAGGCUUGCAGGCGGGACGCGCCGGCUACGCCGAACCGUUCCGAGGUUCAAGACGAAUAUGCCGUCUCGGGAGUCGGAAGGAAGCAAACAAAGCGACGUCUAAAAAUAGACUCCAUUUGCGUUAGGGCGAAGACGAAUGUGGACUUUUGAGAGCGAGUCUCGUUAGUAGAUUUGGCUGUUCGAGUUUGCAUUGAUUGAGCUCGGAGAGUGGCUUUGAUUAAAAGGAACCGUGGGGGCAUUUUGUGAGAGGCGCUGGAGGAAAAAAAAACAGAAAAAAAAGCCCCAUGAUGCACGGAGGCGAUGGGUGAUUGGUUUAAAACCGCUCGUCGGGCCGAUACGAUGUGCUGUGCAGUCAAUACUCGGCUCCUCUCCUCUCUUCUGCGUCCCAGCUGAUGCAGCAGGAAGCAAAAAGGCUCCUUCUCUCAGCUGGAGCUGGGAGGAGCUGUCAGUCCCUUCAGCUCGGCUUGAUGGUAGCAUUUCAAGUGACACUUUGAUCCUCGCUCCUCACUGUUUGUUUUUUCCCGGUGAUGAAAUUCAGCUGGAGAGGCGUGCAACAGGGCGCAUCGUUACAACGCCGAGCAAACAACCCGGGCUUGUCCCUAGCAAAAAAAAAAAGGCUCACGACGAUUUUUUUUUUUUGUUUGUCACAUCUGCUUAGAGAACACAAGACGGGGUGGGUGGCAGGCAGACGCGGAGGCCCACCACCCCGCCCCACUUCACCCUCCGCUGGGACUCCGCCGGAGCGACGCUGGAGCUAAACUCUGGAGAAUAAACGAGUCUGGCAGAGCGGAGAGUCGUCUGAAAGAAGCUUUUAGGAAAUUCUUUCUAUACAGCCAAGGAGAACAUUUAAGGGUUACCUAUUAACGCAGUACAAAACAUGUUCAUUACACUUUUUAUUUUUUUAUUUUACAAAACGUACAGCUGUCUCUCUUUGAAAAGCAGAAGUGGAGUCUCCUGCACAUCCAACAGCAAUGCAGCAAGUUUUUUCUAGACUGUAAGUCAACAGCAAAACAAUUUGUCUCUUCCAGAAGCCGUUGUACCGCGUAAGACAAGCUGACCAAACGUGCUGGAGCUCUGCUUGGGUUGCUAGGUAACAGGCUCAACGACUGUCAAAUGUGGCUUAGCAAUCAAGAGGUUUUUGAAACAACACCAAAUGACAUCUGAGUGUAUUCUUUAAGCGCUUGGGCUGUUUUAGAAGCAGUAGAGACCCAAAUGGAAGCACAGAAACAUACAACAUAUGAGUUUUGCUUAAUAGGUUCCUUAAAGAGUUGCCAAACACUGCCCCUAGAGGACUGGAGUUGAAUCCUCCUUGACGUACGCCUUGAGCUUUUUCACUUUUUGUCUCACAAACUUCAACAUACAGUAUGUUAUUAGGAUUUUACGUUACAGGUCAACACAAAGUAUUGCAUAUUAAUUUAUGGGAAGAAAAAAGAUGCAUGGCUUCUAAAAUAAAUUUAA